UACGUAGGGUGCAGGCGUUAAUCGGAAUUACUGGGCGUAAAGCGUGCGCAGGCGGCUUCCUAAGUCAGAUGUGAAAUCCCCGGGCUUAACCUGGGAACUGCGUUUGAAACUGGGAGGCUAGAGUGCAGAAGGGGCAAUCGGAAUUCUUGGUGUAGCGGUGAAAUGCGUAGAUAUCAAGAGGAACACCUGAGGUGAAGACGGGUUGCUGGGCUGACACUGACGCUGAGGCGCGAAAGCCAGGGGAGCAAACGGG
rnacentral:rRNA from 1 species